GGCGGGACGCGCGCCGAGUCACCGCGUCACGGGCGCGCGCCACAUCUUCCACAGGGUGGGGCCGCCGUUCGGGACGGCGAUCUCGCCG
rnacentral:tRNA from 1 species